CGAUUUCUUCCCUUCUUCUCACUCUAUCUCUGCGCUCUUAAUUAAUCGAAACAUCUCUUCUUCGAUCCUUCAUUUCUCGUGCAAUCUUUAACCAUGGUGCUCGAGGCGACAAUGAUUUGUAUAGAUAACUCGGAAUGGAUGCGAAACGGAGAUUACUCUCCCUCCAGAUUUCAAGCUCAAGCAGAUGCUGUUAAUCUUAUUUGUGGGGCUAAAACGCAGUCAAAUCCCGAGAAUACGGUGGGAGUUCUCACGAUGGCGGGAAAAGGUGUUCGUGUUUUGGUCACGCCUACUAGCGACCUUGGCAAGAUCUUAGCUUGCAUGCACGGUUUAGAAAUAGGUGGUGAGAUGAACUUGGCUGCUGGCAUCCAGGUUGCACAAUUGGCACUUAAGCAUCGUCAAAACAAAAAGCAGCAACAAAGGAUUAUUGU
rnacentral:misc_RNA from 1 species